rnacentral:lncRNA from 1 species
UCCCUCCCCAUUUCACUGUUAGAUUCUUCUCCACCUUUUAACAAAUUUGCAUGUCAGUUCCUGUCACGUUUAUUUAUUGGGUUCUCGGCUGCCUAACCUGUACAUACCUGAUCCCUCGGGUUUUGUUUACAAGGAAUCUUGACUGACCAAAAGGCACUGUAACUCUGCCUCAGAUACAAGGUACAGAGGAGAUGCGUCUCGGAGGAAACGUCUGCUUCCGUCCCCUUGUUCUGGUGAACGUUGGGAGAGAGCAUGAGAGAAGCAUUAAAAUUCUAGAGCUGUGCUUUUAUGAUCCAAAGACAUAGAGUGAUGUGGGUGUCAGAGACUGAAGAGAGGUGAAAGUCGCGCUUUCAACCUGUCAUUCAGGGUUUCCUUUGAGCUAGUCGGCUGUACCUUUUCAAUUAGUUCUCUUUUUUUUUUUUCAACCAACAUGUCACUAAAAGUUCCAUCAAAGCUUUAUCAGUUCAAGUUUCUUGCUUUUCAUAAUACUUUUUUCUGAUGCAAUUUUAUAUUUUCAAACAUGGCAAGUUAAAUAUAAAUUCAUUUAAAUAUAUAGUUUUGUACUUUUCUACCAUGUAAAUGUGCAAUGUAUAUAAAAGUUAUAAUGUGUAUUUGUAGAUAAAUGAUGAGUGAAAAAAUAAAAAAAAAUGUAAAAGCC